CCUACGGGUGGCAGCAGUGAGGAAUAUUGGUCAAUGGCCGGAAGGCUGAACCAGCCAAGCAGCGUGAAGGAAGAAGGUGCCAAGCAUUGUAAACUUCUUUUGUCAAGGGACAAAAUCAGGCUCGUGAGACUGACCGAGGGUACUUGAAGAAAAAGCAUCGGCUAACUCCGUGCCAGCAGCCGCGGUAAUACGGAGGAUGCGAGCGUUAUCCGGAUUUAUUGGGUUUAAGGGGUGCGUAGGCGGGCUGUUAAGUAAGCGGGAAAAGCCCGGGGCUCAACCCCGGCGAGCCGUUGAAACUGGCUGUCUUGAGAUGUCGGGAGGUAUGCGGAAUGCGCAGUGUAGCGGUGAAAUGCUUAGAUAUUGCGCAGAACCCCGAUUGCGAAGGCAGCAUACCGGCGGCGAUCUGACGCUGAGGCACGAAAGCGUGGGUAUCGAACAGGAUUAGAUACCCCAGUAGUC
rnacentral:rRNA from 1 species